rnacentral:lncRNA from 1 species
AAGCUCAGCUCCCUGGCAGGCCUAGCUGACACAGGAGUGGGAUGUGAACGGCUGACUAGCCCCACUACAAAUAGCCUCUUUCAGUUUCAUUGAUGCCAGGUGGGAGUAGAUGCUCAGCUACCCGCUGGGCCCGACUGACAGUACCAAAGCAGGAAAAUCAGAGCGUUGCUUGCUUCUGCUGGUGGCAGACAGAAGAUUAGCUCCCUGUUUGACCCUGGAACACCACCAGAAUUACAAGGCGAUGACGAAAGUUGAGUUUUGUAAUGAGUUUUAAAUAUCAUCACCCAGAAAAGCUUUCCCAUGGCUCUGGAACCACAGGCUGCGGAGAUAUACUCGAUGAAACCGCUUCUUUCAUGGGUGUGAGGUUGGACAGAUCACUUCGUUUUUCUGAGCUUCAGUUUCUUCAUGAGUAAAAUGAAUGAGUGGGCUGGGUUGGACUUCUGGCGUGCGGUCAAGGAUACACACACAUUCAGACCUCACAAAUCAGGGUGUUUGAGGGCAGGACCCAGGCUUUAUGUAUUUUAAGAAGGAUCUACAGGCGAUUCUGACAUACACUUCUGGUUACUGGCUUAAGUUCUUUUAAUUCCUAACAUUUUAUAUUAAUACUCC